GAUGAACGCUGGCGGCGUGCCUAAUACAUGCAAGUCGAGCGAACAGACGAGGAGCUUGCUCCUCUGACGUUAGCGGCGGACGGGGGAGUAACACGUGGAUAACCUACCUAUAAGACUGGGAUAACUUCGGGAAACCGGAGCUAAUACCGGAUAAUAUAUUGAACCGCAUGGUUCAAUAGUGAAAGACGGUUUUGCUGUCACUUAUAGAUGGAUCCGCGCCGCAUUAGCUAGUUGGUAAGGUAACGGCUUACCAAGGCAACGAUGCGUAGCCGACCUGAGAGGGUGAUCGGCCACACUGGAACUGAGACACGGGCCAGAGUCUCACGGGAGGCAGCGGUAGGGAAUAUUCCGCAAUGGGCGAAAGCCUGACGGAGCAACGCGGCGUGAGUGAUGAAGGUCUUCGGAUCGUAAAACUCUGUUAUUAGGGAAGAACAAAUGUGUAAGUAACUAUGCACGUCUGGACGGUACCUAAUCAGAAAACCCCGGUUAACUACGU
rnacentral:rRNA from 1 species